GACGAACGCUGGCGGCGUGCCUAACACAUGCAAGUCGAACGGAAAGGCGCUGCUCUUGUGGGGUGCUCGAGUGGCGAACGGGGGAGUAACACGUGAGUAACCUGCCCUUAACUGUGGGGUAACUUCAGGAAACUGGGGCGAAUAUACGAGAGGAUCUCCUGCAGCACGGGGGGCGAUGGUGAGUGUCGGCUGUUGGGGAUGGACUCGCGGCUUAUCAGCUUGAUUGUGUGGUAGUGGCUUACCACGGCUUUGACGGGUAGCCGGCCUGAGAGGGUGACCGGCCACAUUGGGCCUGAGAUACGGCCCAGACUGCUACGGUACGCAGCAGUGGGGAAUCUUGCACAAUGGGCGGAAGCCUGAUGCAGCAACGCCGCGUGCGGGAUGACGGCCUUCGGGUUGUAAACCGCUUUCGCCUGUGACGAAGCGUGAGUGACGGUAAUGGGUAAAGAAGCACCGGCUAACUACGUG
rnacentral:rRNA from 1 species